CAAAAUGACCAUGAAGACCACAAUGAGCACAAUGACCACAAAAACCACAAGGACAACAAAGACGAAAAGAACCAAAAAGACCAUAAGGAAUUAGUAUCAUUUGGACCAACCGCUCAGUUUAUCACUUGUCCAUCGUGUGGAGAGAAAAUUUUGACUAAUCUCCAACCUAAUUAUACAUCGAAAACGCAUAAAAUAGCCUCUGUUUUGUGUUUGGUUGGUUAUUGCUAUCUUCCGUAUGCUCUGAGUGAAUGCUUUGAAACAGUACAUCAUUGUCCUGAAUGCGGUGCCUAUAUUGGCUCGUACAAUGCGGAAACAUAAAACUUUUAUUUUAAUAUUUCUAAUGAUCGAUGGUCAGAGAGAAUUGUUCAAAAUUUUUAAGUGAAAAUUGUAUAUGAAAUGAAAAUUUAAAAAAA